rnacentral:misc_RNA from 1 species
CGACCCCAGGUCGGGCGGGACCACCCGCUGAGUUUAACAUAUCAU